UACAGAGGUCUCAAGCGUUGUUCGGAUUCAUUGGGCGUAAAGGGCGCGUAGGCGGCUAGGCAAGUCAGGCGUGAAAGCCCCGAGCUUAACUCGGGAAUUGCAUCUGAAACUGCUGUGCUUGAGUUCUGGAGGGGGUAGUGGAAUUCCCAGUGUAGCGGUGAAAUGCGUAGAUAUUGGGAGGAACACCUGCGGCGAAGGCGGCUACCUGGACAGAAACUGACGCUGAGGCGCGAAAGAUAGGGGAGCGAACGGG
rnacentral:rRNA from 1 species